rnacentral:misc_RNA from 1 species
GAUGAAGAACGUAGCGAAAUGCGAUAAGUAAUGCGAAUUGCAGAAUUCAGUGAAUCAUCGAAUCUUUGAACGCACAUUGCGCCCGCCAGUAUUCUGGCGGGCAUGCCUGUCUGAGCGUCGUUUCGACCCUCGCGCCCGGCUUCUGUCGGGGGCGGUGUUGGGGAUCGGCCACACCCUUCAGCGGGAGGCCGGCCCCUAAAUUCAGUGGCGACCACGCUGUAGCCUCCCCUGCGUAGUACUAAAACCACCUCGCAGGCGGAGAGCGGUGCGGCCCGCCGUAAAACCCCCCAACUUUUACAAGGUCGACCUCAGAUCAGGUAGGAAUACCCGCUGAACUUAAGCAUAUCAAUAAGCGGAGGA